rnacentral:rRNA from 1 species
AUAUCAAUAAGCGGAGGAAAGGAAACCAACUGGGAUUGCCCUAGUAACGGCGAGUGAAGCGGCAAGAGCUCAAAUUUGAAAUCUGGCUCCGCACCGGGGUCCGAGUUGUAAUUUGUAGAGGAUGCUUUUGGGUAGUCGCCGGUCUAAGUUCCUUGGAACAGGACGUCACAGAGGGUGAGAAUCCCGUACGUGACCGGAGAGGCGCCCUACGUAAAGCUCCUUCGACGAGUCGGGUUGUUUGGGAAUGCAGCCCUAAAUUGGAGGUAAAUUUCUUCUAAAGCUAAAUACCGGCCAGAGACCGAUAGCGCACAAGUA